rnacentral:rRNA from 1 species
GACGAACGCUGGCGGCGUGGAUUAGGCAUGCAAGUCGAACGGUGUCAUCCUUUCGGGGGUGAGAGAGUGGCGAACUGGUGAGUAACACGUAGGUUAUCUACCCUCAAGACGGGGACAACCCAGGGAAACUUGGGCUAAUACCGGAUGUGAGCAACUUUUAGUUGUUUGAAAGGUGGCGUAAGCUGUCGCUUGGGGAUGAGCCUGCGUCCUAUUAGUUAGUUGGUGAGGUAACGGCUCACCUAGGCAAUGAUAGGUAGGCGGCCUUAACGGGUGGUCGCCCACACUGGGAUUGAGAUACGGCCCAGACUCCUACGGGAGGCAGCAGUCGAGAAUAGUCUACAAUGGUCGGAAGACUGAUAGUGCGACGCCGCGUGAACGAUGAAUCCCUUCGGGGUGUAAAGUUCUUUUAUAUGUGAGCAGUGCUUCUUAUAUUAACAGUAUGGGGAAGAGAUAUUAGCAUAUGAAUAAGCAACGGCUAACUCCGUGCCAGCAGCCGCGGUAAA